rnacentral:misc_RNA from 1 species
GUCGCCGAGGUCGUGUCUCCGCUUCGCCGUGGUGUAUCAGUGCGUCUAUUUUACGUACGGUAAAGACCGCGCGCGCGCGCGCACGCACAUACGUCCGAUUAAUUAUUAUGCACGCGUGUAUACCGCUCGCCGCGUAGCGUAGAAACAAAACGGCCGGUGCUGGUGACACAAAACGGAUAAAAGCUCCGGAGGAGACUACGACGAAGACGACGACAACGAACGCUGGUGUGUUGCUAGUGUAUGUGCGCGAAUAGUGUGCAAUAUUUUUCCGCUGCUCCGCGUCUUCUCGUUCCCGUUGCUGCGCAUCGUACUCUGUCGGAAGCAGCGACGACCCACCGACGCAAAGUGUUUCCAAAUCCUACGAACGAAAGGCCACAAUCAAAAUUUUCACAGUUAUGAAUAGCGUUAUGAUCCUAUCGGAAGAUCAUGAAAACGUUGAUACUGAAAGCAAAUCAUCGAUCCAAGAAGAGUAUUGAGCGCUAACACUUAAUUAUGCCAUAUAGCCGAACUUGAUUUUUAAUGGUGAGGAGUGCGCCAGUAUAACGGCAGUAUAGUUAACACUGACACUUUUUCUGUAAUUCCAUUUAUAUCUUUCGAGCAUAAUUAAGAUAAUUUUCUUCAGUCUCAUUAUAGGCAUUUUGGCCAGAAAAGUUUUUGGAAAAACUGUGCGGCGGCGGAACUGUUAUCCAGUAACAAGAUCGAACCGAAGUAAACACGAGAGGCAUUGUGACAAGCCUGCCGAAUCGAGAUAUGGAUUGGUCGCUGAAAGCUCGCCGAACAGUGGACCGUUUCGUAGUGAACCGAAAUGAGGACACGAGGUAUAUAUUUAGAUCUUUUUUACCUAUAAAAUC